GAACUUAAGCAUAUCAAUAAGCGGAGGAAAAGAAACCAACAGGGAUUGCCCUAGUAACGGCGAGUGAAGCGGCAACAGCUCAAAUUUGAAAUCUGGCUCUCGGGCCCGAGUUGUAAUUUGUAGAGGAUGCUUCUGGCGCGGUGCCUUCCGAGUUCCCUGGAACGGGACGCCUUAGAGGGUGAGAGCCCCGUACGGUCGGACACCAAGCCUAUGUGAAGCUCCUUCGACGAGUCGAGUAGUUUGGGAAUGCUGCUCUAAAUGGGAGGUAAAUUUCUUCUAAAGCUAAAUAUUGGCCAGAGACCGAUAGCGCACAAGUAGAGUGAUCGAAAGAUGAAAAGCACUUUGAAAAGAGGGUUAAACAGCACGUGAAAUUGUUGAAAGGGAAGCGUUUGCGACCAGACUUUUUCCCGGCGGAUCAUCCGGCGUUCUCGCCGGUGCACUUCGCCGGGUCAAGGCCAGCAUCGGUUUCCGGAGGGGGACAAAAGCUUUGGGAACGUGGCUCCUUCGGGAGUGUUAUAGCCCUUUGCAUAAUGCCCCUCUGGGGACCGAGGUUCGCGCAUCUGCAAGGAUGCUGGCGUAAUGGUCGUCAACGACCCGUCUUGAAACACGGACCAAGGAGUCGAACAUUUGUGCAAGUGUUAGGGUGUCAAACCCCUGCGCGUAAUGAAAGUGAACGGAGGUGAGAGCCCUUACGGGUGCAUCAUCGACCGAUCCUGAUGUUUUCGGAUGGAUUUGAGUAAGAGCAUAACUGUUCGGACCCGAAAGAUGGUGAACUAUGCGUGGGUAGGGUGAAGCCAGAGGAAACUCUGGUGGAGGCUCGCAGCGGUUCUGACGUGCAAAUCGAUCGUCAAACCUGCGCAUGGGGGCGAAAGACUUAUCGAACCAUCUAGUAGCUGGUUACCGCCGAAGUUUCCCUCAGGAUAGCAGUGUUGUUUUCAGUUUUAUGAGGUAAAGCGAAUGAUUAGGGACCUGGGGGCGCUAUAUAGCCUUCAUCCAUUCUCAAACUUUAAAUAUGUAAGAAGCCCUUGUUGCUUAAUUGAACGUGGGCAUUCGAAUGUAUCAACACUAGUGGGCCAUUUUUGGUAAGCAGAACUGGCGAUGCGGGAUGAACCGAACGCGGGGUUAAGGUGCCAGAGUGGACGCUCAUCAGACACCACAAAAGGUGUUAGUACAUCCAGACAGCAGGACGGUGGCCAUGGAAGUCGGAAUCCGCUAAGGACUGUGUAACAACUCACCUGCCGAAUGUACUAGCCCUGAAAAUGGAUGGCGCUCAAGCGUCUCACCCAUACCUCGCCCCUAAGGUAGGACCGAUGCCUUAGGGAGUAGGCGGCCGUGGGGGUCAGUGACGAAGCCUAGGGCGUGAGCCCGGGUUGAACGGCCUCUAGUGCAGAUCUUGGUG
rnacentral:rRNA from 1 species